rnacentral:rRNA from 1 species
ACGGGGAGGAGCCCAGAGCCUGAAUCAGUGUGUGUGUUAGUGGAAGCGUCUGGAAAGGCGCGCGAUACAGGGUGACAGCCCCGUACACAAAAAUGCACAUGCUGUGAGCUCGAUGAGUAGGGCGGGACACGUGGUAUCCUGUCUGAAUAUGGGGGGACCAUCCUCCAAGGCUAAAUACUCCUGACUGACCGAUAGUGAACCAGUACCGUGAGGGAAAGGCGAAAAGAACCCCGGCGAGGGGAGUGAAAAAGAACCUGAAACCGUGUACGUACAAGCAGUGGGAGCACGCUUAGGCGUGUGACUGCGUACCUUUUGUAUAAUGGGUCAGCGACUUAUAUUCUGUAGCAAGGUUAACCGAAUAGGGGAGCCGAAGGGAAACCGAGUCUUAACUGGGCGUUAAGUUGCAGGGUAUAGACCCGAAACCCGGUGAUCUAGCCAUGGGCAGGUUGAAGGUUGGGUAACACUAACUGGAGGACCGAACCGACUAAUGUUGAAAAAUUAGCGGAUGACUUGUGGCUGGGGGUGAAAGGCCAAUCAAACCGGGAGAUAGCUGGUUCUCCCCGAAAGCUAUUUAGGUAGCGCCUCGUGAAUUCAUCUCCGGGGGUAGAGCACUGUUUCGGCAAGGGGGUCAUCCCGACUUACCAACCCGAUGCAAACUGCGAAUACCGGAGAAUGUUAUCACGGGAGACACACGGCGGGUGCUAACGUCCGUCGUGAAGAGGGAAACAACCCAGACCGCCAGCUAAGGUCCCAAAGUCAUGGUUAAGUGGGAAACGAUGUGGGAAGGCCCAGACAGCCAGGAUGUUGGCUUAGAAGCAGCCAUCAUUUAAAGAAAGCGUAAUAGCUCACUGGUCGAGUCGGCCUGCGCGGAAGAUGUAACGGGGCUAAACCAUGCACCGAAGCUGCGGCAGCGACGCUUAUGCGUUGUUGGGUA